AUAAAAACACCUGAAAAUACUGGGUGGCCACCCAUAAUGAUUGAGAUACUCAAUCGUUGGGAGUAUCUCAAUCAUUAUGGGUGGCCACCCAGUAUUUUCAGGU
rnacentral:miRNA from 1 species